UACGUAGGGGGCGAGCGUUGUCCGGAUUUAUUGGGCGUAAAGCGCGCGCAGGCGGUUCUCUAAGGCUGGUGUGAAAGCUCCCGGCUCACCUGGGAGAGGGCAUUGGCGACUGGGGGACUGGAGCAAGGCAGAGGCCGGUGGAAUUCCCGGUGUAGUGGUGAAAUGCGUAGAGAUCGGGAGGAACACCAGAGGCGAAGGCGGCGACCUGGACAAGUACUGACACUCAACUACGAAAGCGUGGGGAGCAAACAGG
rnacentral:rRNA from 1 species